rnacentral:rRNA from 1 species
UACGAAGGGUGCAAGCGUUACUCGGAAUUACUGGGCGUAAAGCGUGCGUAGGCGGUUUGUUAAGUCUGAUGUGAAAGCCCUGGGCUCAACCUGGGAAUGGCAUUGGAUACUGGCAACCUAGAAUGUGGUAGAGGGUGGCGGAAUUCCCGGUGUAGCAGUGAAAUGCGUAGAUAUCGGGAGGAGCACCAAUGGCGAAGGCAGCUCGCUGGGACGGUACUGACGCUGAGACGCGAAAGCGUGGGGAGCAAACAGG